rnacentral:rRNA from 1 species
GACGAACGCUGGCGGCGUGCUUAACACAUGCAAGUCGAAAGGAAAGGCCCUGCUUUUGUGGGGUGCUCGAGUGGCGAACGGGUGAGUAACACGUGAGUAACCUGCCCUUGACUUUGGGAUAACUUCAGGAAACUGGGGCUAAUACAGGAUAGGAGCUCCUGCUGCAUGGUGGGGGUUGGAAAGUCUCGGCGGUUGGGGAUGGACUCGCGGCGUAUCAGCUGGUUGGUGGGGUAGUGGCUUACCAAGGCUUUGUCGGGUAGCCGGCCUGAGAGGGUGACCGGCCACGUUGGGACUGAGAUCCGGCCCAGACUUCUACGGGAGGCAGCAGAGGGGAGUAUUGCAUGAUAGGCGGAAUCCUGAUGCAGCAACGCCGCGUGCGGGAUGACGGCCUUCGGGUUGUAAUCCGCAUUCGUCUGUGACGGAGCGUGAGUGACGGUAAUGGGUAAAGAAGCACCGGCUAACUACGUG